rnacentral:rRNA from 1 species
CCUACGCGAGGCAGCAGUGAGGAAUAUUGGUCAAUGGGCGGAAGCCUGCACCAGCCAAGUCGCGUGAGGGAAUAAGGCCCUACGGGUCGUAAACCUCUUUUGCCGGGGAGCAAGGGCGGGGACGUGUCCCGGCCCGGAGAGUACCCGGAGAAAAAGCAUCGGCUAACUCCGUGCCAGCAGCCGCGGUAAUACGGAGGAUGCGAGCGUUAUCCGGAUUUAUUUGGUUUAAAGGGUGCGUAGGCGGGCCUUUAAGUCAGCGGUAAAAAUUCGGGGCUCAACCCCGUCCGGCCGUUGAAACUGGGGGCCUUGAGUGGGCGAGAAGAAGGCGGAAUGCGUGGUGUAGCGGUGAAAUGCGGAGAUAUUAGGAGGAACACCAGUGGCGAAGGCGGUCUGCUGGACAGCAACUGACGGUGAGGCGCGAAAGCGUGGGGAGCAAACAGGAUUAGAUACCCGAGUAGUC